AAGAAAGUGGCAGAGUGGCCAUGCGGUCGGCUUGAAACCGACACAAGGGGGUUCGAUUCCUCCCUUUCUCG
rnacentral:tRNA from 1 species